rnacentral:rRNA from 1 species
UAAGACUGGAUAGGAAAUAAAAAGGCAUCUUUUUAUUUUUAAAAGACCUUUUUCGAAAGGUAUGCUUAAAGAGGGGCUUGCGCCAUAUUAGUUAGUUGGUAGGGUAAAAGCCUACCAAGACGAUGAUAUGUAGCUGGACUGAGAGGUUGAACGGCCACAUUGGGACUGAGACACGGCCCAAACUCCCACGGGAGGCAGCAGUAGGGAAUUUUCGGCAAUGGAGGAAACUCUGACCGAGCAACGUCGCGUGAACGAUGAAGUAUUUCGGUAUGUAAAGUUCUUUUAUUGAAGAAGAAAAAAUAGUGGAAAAACUAUCUUGACGCUAUUCAAUGAAUAAGCCCUGGCUAAUUAUGUGCCAGCAGCCGCGGUAAUACAUAAAGGGCGAGCGUUAUCCGGAAUUAUUGGGCGUAAAGGGUGCGUAGGCGGUUUGUUAAGUCUUUAGUUUAAUCUCAGUGCUUAACGCUGUUCUGCUAGAGAAACUGACUUACUAGAGUGAGAUAGAGGCAAGUGGAAUUCCAUGUGUCAGCGGUAAAAUGCGUAAAUAUAUGGAGGAACACCAGAGGCGUAGGCGGCUUGCUGGGUCUUUACUGACGCUGAGGCACGAAAGCGUGGGGAGCAAACAGGAUUAGAUACCCUGGUAGUCCACGCCGUAAACGAUGAGUACUAAGUGUCGGGGAAACUCGGUACUGAAGUUAACACAUUAAGUACUCCGCCUGAGUAGUACGUACGCAAGUAUGAAACUUAAAGGAAUUGACGGGAUCCCGCACAAGCGGUGGAUCAUGUUGUUUAAUUCGAAGAUACACGAAAAACCUUACCAGGUCUUGACAUACUCUGCAAAGCUGUAGAAAUACAGUGGAGGUUAUCAGGGAUACAGGUGGUGCAUGGUUGUCGUCAGCUCGUGUCGUGAGAUGUUAGGUUAAGUCCUAGAACGAGCGCAACCCUUGUCGUUAGUUACCAGCACGUUAUGGUGGGCACUUUAACGAGACUGCCAAUGAAAUAUUGGAGGAAGGUGAGGAUUACGUCAAAUCAUCAUGCCCCUUAUGAUCUGGGCUACAAACGUGAUACAAUGGCUGUUACAAAGAGUAGCUGAAACGUGAGUUUUUGGCCAAUCUCAAAAAAACAGCCUCAGUUCGGAUUGAAGUCUGCAACUCGACUUCAUGAAGUUGGAAUCGCUAGUAAUCGCAAAUCAGCAUGUUGCGGUGAAUACG